AUUUCUUUGGGCCGCUCCCGCGGCAUAUGGAGGUUCCCAGGCUAGGGGUCCAAUCGGAGCUGUAGCCACCGGCCUACGCCAGAGCCACAGCAACGCGGGAUCCGAGCUGAGUCUGCAACCUACACCACAGCUCACGGCAACGCCGGAUCGUUAACCCACUGAGCAAGGGCAGGGACCGAAUCCGCAACCUCAUGGUUCCCAGUCGGAUUCGUUAACCACUGCGCCACGACGGGAACUCCUGGAGAGCAAAUUCGAGCAGCACUUGCUACUGCAAAGAGGGGUCUUCACCUUUGCCAUUUAGAGCGAGAACAAUUUAGAGGCAUCAAACCAAUAUGUUUAGACCCAGACAAGCUAGAGGGAAAUCAGCGGGUCAUCUCAGCUCUCCUGCACAUUUAUGAAAGAGGAACCUUGAGAUCAAAACCAAGAAAGUGAACAGCCCAAGACUCCCCGAGCACUCAAUUCUAAUGACGGUGUCAAAGCCACAGCCUUGGUAGUGGCUGGCCUUUAGCACGACAGGCGGCCCUCAGCCAGCACACCCAGGCUCCUGAAUGGGGAAUCCCAGGGCAGCCCCACAACAGGGGCCUCGGUGCCCAAGGUUGGUGGCUGGCUGGAGGCUGACUUCACCCCUUAACAAGCCUCCCAAGUCACCCCCUCCAAAUACUGCAGCUGGAAGUGUCUGUCCCAGACUUAAUGAAAAUUCACUUUGCCACCAGGCAGGACAGAUUGAUUUCUCUAUUAGUGCUUAUAACCAUGGUCCAGACAAAUCUGAGGUCAGAGUUGGGUCAGAGUGAGCUGGUUUCCUACAGUCACAUCCAGAGGAUGCUUUGAAUGGACCCUAUGGGCUUCUAAUGUCUACAUGCCAGAUUCUGAUGGAAGUAGCGUUAGCGCCUUCAUUAGUGUCUCGUUUAAAACUAUGAUAUUCUGAAUAAUUCAGACGGUUGCUAAAGGGCUGCAUUAUGUUUUAUUUUCUCAAACUGGGGGGCUAUGAACAAAAAAAGUUUUUGAGGGGGAAAGACAAAACCAAGGGAAGCAAGUUAGCAACUAAGUCUUUGACCCAGGCCUAAAUGUGAGCACCACUGGUUAAGGUCACUCAAGAGAGUUCCCGUCAUGGCUCAGCGGUAAGCAACCCGACUAGUGUCCAUGAGCAUGAGGGUUCGAUCCCUGGCCUUACUCAGUGGUUAAGGAUCUAGCGUUGCUAUGAGCUGUAGUGUAGGUCGCAGUUGCAGCUCAGAUCCUGCAUUGCUGUAGCUGUGAUGUAGCUGCAGCUCUGAUUGCACCCCUGGCCUGGGAACUUCCAUAUGCUGCAGCCCUAAAAAGUAAAAAUAAAUAAAUUUUUUACAAAAUUUAAAAAAAUUACUCACGAUGCCCUCCUUCUAGUGGUGACAUUAGAAUCUGGGCAUUUCCAUUACAUUUCCCCCCAGAACCCCCCUACUGCCUUUCAGUUCUGAGAGUCUGCCUCCCAUAUAGAAAGAACCUCUACAGGGAAGAUCGGAUUGUGAGGCUGAUUUUCCUUAAUAGCUUGAAAUUUAUUUUAGAAUUUCCUUACUAGGUUUCCUAAGAUGCUCUACCAUUAGGAAAGCCUAUCCUUCUAAUUCUAAACCCUUUCAAUCCAGUUCCUUACCUAGUUGCUCCAUUACGUUUUAUGAGUACUGGCUUUACUCCAAUCUUCACAUCAUUAGUGGCCUGUUGUAUAAGCCCCACCACUACAGGGCUCUGGAGAGCAUCACAAGGUGGGCACCUGGCCAAAGAUGCUGAGACACAGUCCUGUGACUGCUCAUUGGGCUGACUUCAGCUUGGCUUCUGAUGUGUAGGAACCCUCCUACACGGUGGGUGGGAAUGUAAACUGGUGCAGCUGCUACGGAGAACAGUAUAGAGAUUCCUCAUAAAACUAAAAAUAGAACCUACCAUAUGAUCCAGCAAUCCCACUCCUGGACAUCUAUCUGAAGAAAACCAUAAGUCAAAAAAAUCCAUGCACCUCAAUAUUCAGAGCAGCGCUAUUCACAAUAGCCAAGACAUGGAAGCAACCUAAAUGUUCAACGACAGAGGAAUGGCUAAAGAAGAUGUGGCAGUUGUAUGCAAUGGAAUAUUACUCAGCCAUAAAGAAGAAUGAAAUAAUGCCAUUUGCAGCAACAUGGAUGGACCUAGAAAUGAUCAUACUAACCGAAGUAAAUCAGAUGGAGAAAGACAAAUACCAUAUGAUAUCACCUAUAUGUGGAAUCUAAAAUACAGCACAGAUGUACCUAUCUACAGAGCAAAAACAGACUCACAGACACAGAGAAUAGACUUGUGAUUGCCAAGGCGGAGGGGUGGGGGUGGGAUGGACUGGGAGUUUUGGGUUAGUAGAUGCAAACUAUUACUUUUAGAAUGGAGAAGCAAUGAGGUCCUCCUACUGUAUCACACAGGGAACUAGAUCCACAUCCUGUAAUAAACCAUAAUGGAAAAGAAUAUGAAAAACAUAUAUAUGUAUAACAAUCAUUUUGCUGUACAACUUGUAAAUCAAGUACACCUCAAUAAAAAAUAAAUUUUAAAGAAUAAUAAUAGUAACCAAAUAGUUCAUAAUAUCCUUUUGUUAAAACAUCUUAAUACAUCGCUAACCUGUUCUCAGCUCUAGACUCAUGAUCAGGAACCACAGCUGAUCAUUCCGCCCCUCUCUCUUCCUCGGGCCCUGAUGAGAAAGGAGACCCAAAUCAUUUGUAGUGACUUGAAAUCAGGCCAUGAGCUUUUGCUCCUCCGGGCUCCAUAAAGUGGUGACUGAUGGCAGGAGGUGUUGUCAGGGUCUGGGCACAAAGGAGACACCUGAGGGAUAGGGACUGAGUGUGACAGUGCUUCUACCGCCCCAAGGGAAGGAUGUCAGAAUCUCCUCCCACAACCACCUCUGCAUGAAAUAAACUGCAUCUCAGGAGAAGAUACCUGCAACCCAUCCUUAUAUACGGCAGUGGGAAAUUACAUGCAACAGGAGAUUGUUUGAGGAUGUAAAAGGAAACAUUAAAACGGGAAGCACAUGUCAAAAAACAGUUUCUUCAGCAACUGCUUAUCCAGGGUAAACGAACCUGCCUCAGUAACAGGCAUUCAUCUCGAAACAGGCAUCAACCCCAAUAAUAGAUUGUCAAUGGAAAAUGAGUCUGUAGAUGAGUCACUUAACAAGAAUAUUCUUCCACUAGUUUUCAAAGCAUUGUCAAGACUGUGCUCCCAUCAUCUGGAUUGGUUUAAAUAAAACCCACUUGCAUUUGUGGGGUUGUGUUUUUGUUUUCAUUUUU
rnacentral:lncRNA from 1 species